GCAAUGGCUCCUCCAAAUCAAUUAUGCUUAGUUUUAGUCAUUUUCUUAUCAGUCUUUUCGCUUUCUUGUUUGUCAACAAGUGCAAUUAUUCCAAAGGCUAAUGUUUCCCUGUCGAUACCUUCAUCGCAACUAGUAGAAAAUUUAUACAAUGGCAAGGCAAUUCAAAAUCGCAAAUUUUCCCUGAAAGCACUUUCCACUCCCGAAGUUAUU
rnacentral:lncRNA from 1 species